rnacentral:rRNA from 1 species
UUCCCUAGUAGCGGCGAGCGAAGCGGGAAGAGCUCAAAUUUAUAAUCUGGCACCUUCGGUGUCCGAGUUGUAAUCUCUAGAAAUGUUUUCCGCGUUGGACCGCACACAAGUCUGUUGGAAUACAGCGGCAUAGUGGUGAGACCCCCGUAUAUGGUGCGGACGCCCAGCGCUUUGUGAUACAUUUUCGAAGAGUCGAGUUGUUUGGGAAUGCAGCUCAAAUUGGGUGGUAAAUUCCAUCUAAAGCUAAAUAUUGGCGAGAGACCGAUAGCGAACAAGUACCGUGAGGGAAAGAUGAAAAGCACUUUGGAAAGAGAGUUAACAGUACGUGAAAUUGUUGGAAGGGAAACGCUUGAAGUCAGACUUGCUUGCCGAGCAAUCGGUUUGCAGGCCAGCAUCAGUUUUCCGGGAUGGAUAAUGGUAGAGAGAAGGUAGCAGUUUCGGCUGUGUUAUAGCUCUCUGCUGGAUACAUCUUGGGGGACUGAGGAACGCAGUGUGCCUUUGGCGGGGGUUUCGACCUCUUCACACUUAGGAUGCUGGUGGAAUGGCUUUAAACGACCCGUCUUGAACCACGGACCA